UCAUAUACAGGCCAAGAUGCCUAAAGAUGAA
rnacentral:piRNA from 1 species